rnacentral:tRNA from 1 species
GAGGUGUAUAAACAACUAGAACUGCUAAUUCAGGUGACUAAGAAUAGAAUUCUCAGACCUCUUA